GUCACAUCAUCAACAAGGCUAUUCUGAUGAUGCAGGUGGUUUAUUUUCUCAAGGUUUCUAAGUUUUGUUCAGUUUGAUUUCAUAAAGUAGCCUGAACCUAAACUGUCUCACAUCUUAUUUACAAUGGGGAAAACUAAAGAUGGGCCAGCUGGGAUCCUAACUGGGCAUGUGCGUAUGCUGCCUGCGUAUGUGUUACCAGUAUUAUACUGUAGUUUGCAUGCCACAUCGACAGAAUCAGGAAGUAACGAAACUUUUUCAUUUCAUACAACGACAACCACAAGAAGCCCCGGCCCUUCCUUUUCCUGCUAAACUUUAAUCGAGCCAAGCUAUGGCUGAAUUUCUGUCAACAAAGGUAAGCAGCAUGUAUUUGCCAUGUAAUGUAGUCCAUGUAAUUCUACCGGUGAUGUUAUUUCGACUUGAUAUGCAUUAAGAAACAUCGGUUUUAACUUAUACAUACUACUCUGUAAAGGCUUGUGAAUAGUUUGCAUGUUCAGACGUGUAAACGUUGGUCCUUUACGCACAGACAAUUAUGCAAUAAAAGCUUCAUACUUGUUAUAAAUACAGCAGUAAUCUAUUCCAUAUGUGGCAUAUAUUUUAACAGAGGUCCUAAAAGGCUCCAAAAUAGCAGAAGAAGCUUUUUCCCAGCAUGGUACAGAAUCUUUACCAACUUGUGAGGUUUUGAGUUUCUUCAUUUAAUGGGGCAGAGCAUGUGACCCUUGAUGUAACGCUAACUCGGUAAAACACUUUCGAUUCCGUUUGAAUCGUUUUCAUUUUACACGAGAGAUCAAACUGUUCAAAAGUUCGGAAAUGAGUACAGCCCACUAGAAAAGCUCGAUAUGCAUGAUGCACGCAAACCAACAUCCGGACAAACAAGUCUGAGUCUCUCACACGAACUUCGUUAAAGUCUGUGGAAUUAAACGUUUUUCUUGAGCAUGACACACAGCAUGUCUGCACUAUUUCAGGCUACGGACAAACUAAACUCACAGCUCAACAGACUGUGCGUAUGGCUUUCGAGUGACCCUGAGUACAUCCUGGAGCACUGCGGGGACAUCCUAUCCGUAAAUGAAUAUAAAAAGGUAAUAAAACAAAGCAGUGGUUCAGAGCAGAUAAGAGAACUAUUGGAAAUAAUCAUUCAAAAAGGAGAAGAUACCUGUCAGAACUUUAUUGACACUCUGAGGAAGCACCGAAGACACUUCCCACAACUAAAGCAGUUUUUCGUCACUGAAGCUGAAGUUCCAGGUUCAUCCACUCCAAGCAUGUUUGCUGAUGGUAGCAGUGUUGUGUCCCGCAGAGAAAUUACAAACACAACUGCAAAAAACAUUUCAUUUAACAUCCAAACAGUAAGCCAGCCGGCAGACAGCAGUUUGUCUGGUAAGAGGAUUUUAUAUUUUCACAUAAAGGAAACCAUUAAAUACACUCAUUGA
rnacentral:lncRNA from 1 species